rnacentral:misc_RNA from 1 species
AAGUCGUAACAAGGUUUCCGUAGGUGAACCUGCGGAAGGAUCAUUAACGUAUUCAAACGUUAAAACCCCCCGGGUGAACCUUCAUCCUGCUCUUGUAACCCGCGUAGUUCGCAAUCUCUGAUAAAUCAUAGCCCGGAAAGUUGUAGUGAUUCAGAGACCUCUGGCUACGUGCGAACAUUGGACAGUUACAAUCGAGCGGUAGUUCAAUAGGCAAUGUUUCCCCAAGUAACAAUGGAUAUCUUGGUUCUC